CGGAUUGUAGUCUGCAACUCGACUACAUGAAGCUGGAAUCGCUAGUAAUCGCGAAUCAGAAUGUCGCGGUGAAUACGUUCCCGGGUCUUGUACACACCGCCCGUCACACCAUGGGAGUUGGUAACGCCCGAAGUCAGUGACCCAACCUUAGGGAGGGAGCUGCCGAAGGCGGGACUGAUAACUGGGGUGAAGUCGUAACAAGGUAGC
rnacentral:rRNA from 1 species